rnacentral:rRNA from 1 species
AUUGAACGCUGGCGGCAGGCCUAACACAUGCAAGUCGGACGGUAGCACAGAGAGCUUGCUCUCGGGUGACGAGUGGCGGACGGGUGAGUAAUGUCUGGGAAACUGCCCGAUGGAGGGGGAUAACUACUGGAAACGGUAGCUAAUACCGCAUAACGUCUUCGGACCAAAGUGGGGGACCUUCGGGCCUCACACCAUCGGAUGUGCCCAGAUGGGAUUAGCUAGUAGGUGGGGUAAUGGCUCACCUAGGCGACGAUCCCUAGCUGGUCUGAGAGGAUGACCAGCAACACUGGAACUGGAACACGGUCCAGACUCCUACGGGAGGCAGCAGUGGGGAAUAUUGACCAAUGGGCGCAAGCCUGAUGCAGCCAUGCCGCGUGUAUGAAGAAGGCCUUCGGGUUGUAAAGUACUUUCAGCGGGGAGGAAGGCGAUGGAGUUAAUAGCUUCAUCGAUUGACGUUACCCGCAGAAGAAGCACCGGCUAACUCCGUGCCAGCCGCCGCCGUAA